rnacentral:rRNA from 1 species
UACAGGGGGGCAAGCGUUGUUCGGAAUUACUGGGCGUAAAGGGCGCGUAGGCGGCCAACUAAGUCACACGUGAAAUCCCCAGGCUUAACCUGGGAACUGCGUGUGAUACUGGAUGGCUUGAAUUCGGGAGAGGAUGCGGAAUUCCAGGUGUAGCGGUGAAAUGCGUAGAUAAUCUGGAGGAACACCGGUGGCGAAGGCGGCAUCCUGGACCGACAUUGACGCUGAGGCGCGAAAGCUAGG